rnacentral:misc_RNA from 1 species
AAGUCGUAACAAGGUCUCCGUUGGUGAACCAGCGGAGGGAUCAUUACCGAGUUUACACUCAUAACCCUUUGUGAACAUUAUAACUUGUUGCUUCGGCGGCUUCUUCGGGAGCCCGCCGGAGGCACACAAACCCUGUACCUUGCAUGGCCUCUCUGAGUCUUACUUUUAAAUAAGUCAAAACUUUCAACAACGGAUCUCUUGGUUCUG